GCUACAGUUCUUUCACUUCCUUCCUCUCAGCUCUUUGUAAGGUGGCUUUGUGGCCCUUCUCUAUGGAUGUAAUCGCACUGCAUGUGGCUGGUUGGGUAAUGCAACACUGUGCUACUGGUGAGGAACACCUCAGAAGUGCCUCCUUGACCCUUGUAUAGCCUUGCCUUCCAGCAGUACAGUGUAGGUGGGUCAAUUAUGGCAUGAGCCAUAAUGGCAUAAGUAUGAAUCUAGUUAAGGCAUUGAGUCAAGGGCAUGGGGAAACUUGAUGCAGUCUUAGAAAAACAAACACUUUAUGAUGUAAAACGAGGGUGGUGAUGCUACUUUUCUUAACCCUCAGUUAACUUGCAGGCACUGUCAAGCACACUUGGAUGAAAUAAGCAACAAUAGUUCUUCCUUAAAAACUGUAGUCUAAGAUUUCAAUGUACUUUGCACCAAAAGGUACAAUGAAAAAGCUACGCAGAAUUUCUGUUGUUGGAUCCUCUCAGCCAAUGCCUGGAUGAACUGAGUUCAUUAAGAAACCUUUAACCAACUCAUCUGAACUGAUAAAUCAAAUAUCUUUCUUGCCCAGUCCUUAUCAGAAAGGCUGUACCAUAUGCCUGGUUAGCUUCUUGUUUAUAUCUUGUUUUGUUGGAUCAUUUGACCCAUUGAAAACUAACAGGAGACAGUGUACUGUGCCACUGUGGAUCACUGUAUAUCUUUUUCCUUAGCACUAACUACAAGGAGACUCAUCUGAAAUUCAUAAGGCAGCAGUACAUAACCAGAUUUCGUUGUUAUUGUUAUGUAAUUGUUAUUGACAAUUUUUUUUGUUGUUGUUGUUGAAAGGCCAUGUUUUUCACACCUCUCGAGUGUGGAAAAUAAAUCAUAGCAGAUUCCUUCUCUUCCACUAUUCCACAUGAGCUUUAGCCAAAGCACGUAGGACGCCCAUCACAUUUGAGAGAGCACGUGUUUGAUAUGACCGCUUCCAAAAGGGAUGAUAUGUAUGGUUAAUGAUGAUGGCUAGAGAAGGAGCUGAGUCACCACUCCCUCUUAGAAGAGGUGAGAGCUGCAACAAAAGUCUUUUUCUUGGGGUCAUUUACCCAGUGGUGUCUUGCAUGAAACGUAGUGGUGAGGAACUUAAAGAGCUUGUUGUAUGCUAUAGCUUUGGGGUAAAGUGAGAGAAUCAAGACCCAAAUUAUGACAGUUGCCACAGAAGAGAACAGGUCAAUCAGAGUAAUGAAUUAAAUGAAACUGAAAUAUAAUCAUAAGCUUAAAACAUCUCACUUGAGCAUGAAACAUGCUUGCUUUAACUGUGUGAACAUUGGCUUUGGUUCAUUCAUAAAUUCAAAUUUUUUCUUACCUUCCAAGCCACUGCUGCUAAUGUCCCACCAGAAGAUCCUUGUUUGUCCACCUCCUAAUGCAGUGAGUUCAUGCAAGUUCUUAUUCCUCAUGGGAUGCGGGUCAUGAACUAUAGGGCUGUGACAGCUGGCCAGUUCCUGUCAGAGCAUUUCAUAACAGUCAUAACAGUCCCAGUCUGGCAUGAUUUGCAGAAAACUCAUGCCAGAAAGCUCUGAGGUUCUCCAUUUCCCUCUAUCACCAUGCAGUUGGCAUAACCCCUUAGGAAAUGACUUGGGGUCAUCAGCCAAGGGAACUAAUCGAGCUCCCUGGCACCUAUGCCUCUGUCUUUGUACCCAGUGGUCCCACUGCUUACUCACUGCUUACCUUCUUGUAGUGGAUCCCCCUAUACCACCCUGAGCUCUCUGCACUUUUCUUUGAUGAGGUCUAUAUUAGACACGCUUCCUUCAUUUCCUUCCAGUUCCUUCCACAGUCUUUCUUUCUCAAGUUAUUCUACAUUUUCUUGCCUACAAUUUAGAGUUGGGAAAUGUGAUUUGCACUUUUACCGUAUUUGCUCUAUUUUGCCGUGGUUAGGACAAAUCCCAUCUGAUGGAUCCAAACAUCUGAAAAAAUGAAGUGAAAAUCCAUGUGGUUUCUGCAGUAUCCUCCAAUCAGAAACUAAAGAUUUCCAAAGAAUUAGAAAAUAUGUAAAUCUGUCUGAGGGAUCUUGUAUGGAAUUUUAGGCGGAUGAGGAGAAUUGCUGGUGCUGUGUUCUUCUGCAUUCUGCAUCACACUUUGGGCUACUUGCUGAAGAAACUGUAAUAUCCCAGCUUUCUAACAAUUGAUGGGAAGAUGAUGUCAGCACAGUAAAGGACAGCCUUCCUGCUACAACCAUCCUAUACAGGCUAUGCAAAUUGAUGGCAUCACUUUUUAGUGCUGUAUAGUUUCCCUGAUUUCUUCCUUUAUCUUCCCAACUCCCUCUGCAACGUCUGUGAUUCUGUCUCUGACAGCACUGAAAAUGUAGUGAAGGCACAUAUUAUAGUACCUAGUGUUCAUAACUAUUCCCUUUUUUCUUCAUGUUUUAAAUGCAUUACAUUUAAUCUGUUUUCUAUAUUGUAGUAGUAAACUGAUAUCUGAUAGCAUAACAAAAGGUUCUGCUACUUGAUGAUUGCUGAGCUUCUCUGAGACUUUGUCAAUUGCUGAGUUUGUCCAUCAACAUCUUUCUUAUUGAUAUGCACUGUUUUCAAACCAUGCAUGCUUAACAGCUUGCUGUCCCAAAUCCUGACUUGCUGCCUGACUUGGGGAAGGGCCUCUUCUCACUUAAUGCUGACUAUAAUUUAGAGCUAGAUUUUGCUCAAACAUGAUCAGCAACAGGAACAACAGAGUGUUUUACUGCUGAGGUCACUGUACUGAUCACACAACAGGUGAUAAGGCCUGAACUUCCUUGCCCUUUCAGAGACCAAGCGAGGACGUAGCAAUCUGUUAUAUGUUCUAAAUGACUGAAGAGCAGAAGUCACGUCACUGGCUUGGUCCUGAAUCAAUUGAAUUGUGUUUUGGGUCCUGUGAGUUUAGAAACCUCAUGUGCUAGCUGGUCAAAUGGCAUUUCUGAAGUCACCUGAAAAAUAAUGACAAGGUUUGUUACUUAUCUUGAGUCCUACCAGCACAGCAUGUUACAAGUAGGCAUGUUUUGUAAAUUGUUGAAUGCUGAACCUAUUGUUGAAUCUUAUUACCUCUGGUGAUGGCAAAGCCUUUGUCUUGUAAGCCAGAAGUUGACAGUGUGAUUUUCUGCAAGGAGCUAAAAAGAAUCCUACCUGAAAAUGGUAAGAUUUUAGCAGCAGAUGUAAUUCACAGCAGAAUAAACACGAUGCUUUCCACAGGCUAAUCUGCAAAAUGAGAGCAUUCAAUUAGGUAAUACAUUUUAAUGUACGGACAUGGGAGCCUGAGGAUGGGUGCACAACAUCAUGACAACAGUCAAGUCGGAUCAGGAUCCUGUCUAACAUUGGCUGAAAAUGAGGUCCUAAGAGUAGCAGCAAUGCAGCCAUAGAGGAAUUGUUUCUUAAUUGCUCUCCAGCAUCCAGAAAUUCCUGGGCAUUUUUGAGUACCCUCAAUGGAUUUUUCUGACAUGGCUUUGCCCAAUUACUUCUGAAUACAUAUAAACUUAGUAUCUACAUCCUGGCUAAAAUUGUUCUGCAGCUCAUGAUCUGUAAAGAACUGUGUCCCUUUCCCUGAAUAAAUGAUACCAGUUGCUGUUUUAGCAUUUUCUGACACCAUGCAGAUGGCCAUAAAGCUGUGGGAAGUUGUCUAGAGGGCAGCCAUUGCUCAGGCAAUGCUGGCUGUUGGUUGGUGGUGAUGUGUGGAAUCAAACACUAUAACCAGAAUAAUCAUAAAGCAGUAUGUUUACUCAAUGUUGGAUGCAUCCUUAUGCUGGAUGAAGCGGGGAGUAUUCCCUCCAAGCCUGUAUACCAGAUGGCAAGAAAGGCGCAUAUUAAAAGAACAAGUUGCUUACAUAUGCAUUAGAUGUCUAAGAAAAGGUUGGGUUAUUACAAUGAGUCCCCAGAAUGACUGACAUUUUUCCCUGCCCCAAGUCUUAGUUCUUUUGCACGUGUGUGGUAUCUCUCAGUGGUUGUCUGGUGGUCUUUUCUGAUGAAGGACGGAUGUCUCUCUUGCUGUGUACUCUCUGACCUGGGUUAAGUUGGAGGAUGCUGACUUAGCUCUAGCUGGUGGUCUUAUUGGCUACAACUCCGUCCACAAAUCCUCUGCUUCUUCGUUAAUGUAUGGCUUUACUGUCCUACCCUGUUGCCUUGCACUGCAGAUACAGGAUAGCUAACAAUGUUAUUUGGAGAAACAGGAGACUCACUGUCUGUACUGACUGUCUAAGUCUGCAGAAAAGCAUUUAUUAUUGGCAGCUAAAACCUGCCUUAGAAAGGACAGAUCUGUAGCUGAUUUAGAAUCCCAUUAAUUUUCAUGGAUCUUCACAUCUUUAGAAAGUUUCUUGAAACAUCACACAUUGAAGGAGACCACAGGAACUACAGAGCUCUAUCCUUUUUCAAUAACUAGAGAUAUCCUCAUGCAAAUGCUAUGGACAACAUGGAGUGCCUACAACACAUUGUGACAAAUGGAGUUAAUUUCCCAAAAAUCUGCAUGCUUGGCCUCAGAACAAUGUCAUUAAACCAUUCCAGAAGUGAAGGAGAAAUACCUAAGAAAAUUGCAAAGACUCCCUUUUCAUAUUCACAGCUACCUUCACUGUGCACAUCUAUUUGAGGGGUCAGCAAGAAUUAUUCUAGGCAUAAGGACAAGAGCAAGACUUCAAGCAUACAUUCAGCAGAUGAGCUCUACUAUUUCUGCAUUUUGAGAUCAUUUGGCAGUAAAAGUCUCUCUCUCCAUGCAGCCAUACUGCUCUUUCUUUGUGCCUGCUCACGCUCAGUGCUGUCAAGGCUCUUACUUCUGGUGGGACAGUGCGCAGAAAAUCGUAUCUUAUUUGCAGAACCGAGGCCAGGCUACUUGACUUCCCAUGGCAGAUUUGACACAAAGUCUUGUCACUCAGCAACACAAAGAGUGGCUUUAA